rnacentral:rRNA from 1 species
UACCAGCACCCCGAGUGGUCGGGACGAUUAUUGGGCCUAAAGCCUCCGUAGCCGGUUCUACGAGUCUUCCGUUAAAUCCACCUGCUUAACAGAUGGGCUGCGGAGGAUACUAUGGAGCUAGGAGGCGGGAGAGGCAAGCGGUACUUAGUGGGUAGGGGUAAAAUCCGUUGAUCCAUUGAAGACCACCAGUGGCGAAGGCGGCUUGCCAGAACGCACUCGACGGUGAGGGAUGAAAGCUGGGGGAGCAAACCGG